UACUGGUAGUUGCUUCUUGAACCUGGUGUAAAGUGGUGGUGUAGCGCGUGCUCAUACCUUUAUGUGAUAUUGUGUUGAGAACUCUUUCACUGGUGCUUUGUUACUUCAAUCCAUGAAAAGAGGAGCAACGAAAGGAAGCCAUCGGCGGCGGUUAAGCGGCCAGCAUUUGAAGCAUCAUGGAAGGACUAAGGAUAGUUGCUGUACUCCGAAGACAGCCGUCGUGAUGGAUGAUAUCUUCAAGUUCGCCAGAUGUGCGGGGCUGAGAUAAGUCAGUGGAAUCGCUGUGCGCUCCAGGCUCUCGUUGAUUGAUAGCGGCGCGGAAGGAGAGUUCGAGAUGAGAAUCCUGAGAAGCUUGAAAUCCUGUGAGAUUAUAAUCAUCACAAGAAGACGGUAGUUCAUCUAUGGACUACUGCAAGGUCGAGGAGAACGAAACAGACGGGUGAUCUCUGGAGAUUGGUCAUGCGGAUUAUGCAGGCUGGUCUUGGUCGAGUGGAGAGUUGUCCUCAGUACAGUUGAAUCUACCCUGGAUCCUGAAUCUACCUUCUAUUCGGUCUCCCGUGGCUCACCAAGAGGGUAGGCAACCAGUCCAUGUUUUCCAAGAGUGAUGCCCCAGGUGCACGUGCCGAGCACUCCUCAGGUUGUAAGCUGCCUUUAUCAACCAUGACAAUGUACCUUGGGACUUCAAAGAAAGAUAAAGGAAAGGAAAACGCAUCUUUGAGAAGUUCUGCAGCAAGGAGGCAUUCGCGCCUGUGUUGGAGGCACCUGUUCUUGCGGUUAUUCUGGAAUCGUCGGGCGUGUUGUGGAGCGCAACACGCGCCAAAGUGUCGUGAGAAAUGCAGCGAAAUAUGAUGCAAUAUUUCUUCGAGAUUCUUCUAAAUAGUUCCGGUAAUCUCGGGAGCCUGUGACGUUCGCUGGUAGCCCCGCCCCCAGAUUGCCUUAUAAAUACGACUGACAAAGUAGGAGGGAGCAGAUCAUCAGUAAGAGUCACAGAUCAGAUCAUCAGUAAGAGUCACAGAUCAGUUCAUCAGUGAGAGCUCAGCAGCAGAGAUCAGAGAUCAUCAUCAGAGAGUGAUAAGAGAAGAAGGAACAGACGAAGGAUCAGAGAGGAAAACUCGCUCGAGAGUUGGGUCGAAUUCUGGUCAAGUUAACGUCAGGAGUGGACGACUGAGGUAUUUUCGACGUUGAGCGAGCCUUGAGAGAAGAAACGUUAUACAAGAGGUUUUGAGGAGUUUCUGCCCUUCAAGCAUCAAGAGUAUACAUUGUUUUCUGCAAUGUGGAGUCAAGUAGACGACAGAAGUUACAGUUCUCCUUGUGUGAAGCCACCGCUUCGAACAUAGAUCUCCGACGGCGCAAAACUGGCUGGCAAGUACUUUCAUUACCCCACCUUUUCCCCAGUUCACGCACUUUAAGAUUUUACUUGUGGUAUGUAAAUAGGAGACACCAUUCUGCAUUUAUCUUUGUUAGUAAGCUUGUAAAUAACCUUUGUUGUGUUUGCAUAACUUUCUAUAUUCGUAUCCCCAGUUUCAACUGUUGGCGUUGAAUUCUUUUUGUUUAUCAUUCAUAUCGAACGUGGAGCGGACCUCCUCUUCUCGGGGUUCGUAACAUUGUGGCGACCUUGCUUAAAAUAUUCAGCAUUAUAACAGUUUAAAACAGGGAGAAUAUAGAAAGAACCAGAAUGAGUGAGAUGGUGAAAGAGUUUACUGAGUCGGGUAAGCUCCUAGGUCUAGAGGGGAAUGAUCUCCGUGAGUAUGUUGAGAGGAAAGAAAGAGAAAAGUAUGAGAGAGAAGAAAGAGCGGCUGAGAGAGAAGCAAGGAAAAUGCAGCAAGAGGUAGAAAUGUUGGUAAGGCAGCAGGAAGAAAGAGAGAAGGUACGUAUGCAUGAGUAGGAAGAAAGGGAGGAAGAACGUAUGCACGAGUUGGAAAUUGCUCGGUUAAGCCAAAGUACUCGUAACAGUCGGAAAGGCGAAAACGAAAAUGGAGCUGAUAGGUUAGGUAUGAGUACAGUGUUGAAAUUAGUACCAAAGUUUGAUGAGGAAGAUGUACGACAUAUUUCAUGUGUUUUGAGAAGUUAAUGGAAAGAGUAGGUUCUCAGUUUUGAGUGGUAGGGCACUUACUGUGUAUAGUUGCAUGUCUAAGGAGGAAUGUGAUGAUUUUGAUAUUGUGAAAGAAACUGUUCUUAGCGCGUACAGGUUAGUACUGGAGGCGUACUGUAAGAAAUUUAGAAGUUUGAGAAAGGACGAAAAUAUUACGCAUGUAGAAUACGGUAAGAAGAUAGAAAGGCUGUUUUUUGAUGGGUUAACUUCUUCUAAAGUUGAGGAUUUUGAUGGUUUGAAGAACUUAGUGUUGUUAGAAAACUUCAAAGAUAACGUAUCCCCUGAGAUUAAGCUUUAUAUAGAAGAUAGGCGAGAAGUUUCUUUUGCAGGAGCAACUAGGUUAGCUGUCGAAUAUAGCCUAACUCAUAAUUUGAGUGUUAGUAAGAAACGAAAUGAUCCUUCGUCUGGUAGAGUACAAAACAGUAAAGGUUUCAGUUCUAGUAAUAGCAAUGCGAGUAAAAGUGACUACUCCUGUUAUACAUGCGGAAAACCUGGUCAUACGUGUAAGGUUUGUAAGAGUAAAGUGGUAUCUAGUGGCUCAGAAUUAACUUGUUUCCGAUAUAAUGGGAAAGGGUAUUUAGCGAGAAAUUGUGCAAUAGAAAGGAAUGAUGGUAAGAAACCAGUGUCUCUAGUUAACCUUUCGUCAAGUAGGAAUGAUGUGAUGAGAGAAACUAUGAAAUUUUUUUGGUGAAUCUCUGUCAGAAGGCGUAGUUUCCUCUCUUGGAGGAGUAGAAUCGAGAGAGGUGGUCUUGCUUCGAGACACGGGAUGCUGUCUCACUGAUUAGGAGAGUGUGUGUGCCGAACAGGGCAGAAAUCAACAUGGAAGAAAAAGUCAUGUUAGGUGGAUUUCCUAACACUUGUGUUCUUUGUCCUAUGUUGAAGUUGAAUUUAGAAGGUCAGGUAGUGUCAGGAGAAGUGAAACUUGCAGUUGUUGACAGUUUGCCUGUUGAUGGCGUUCGACAUUAUUGUCGGUAAUGACUUAGCUUUAUCCAAGAAUGUGAAUCCUGUUGUGAGGGAUAUUCUAGUGCCUGAAAUGGUAGUAACUAGGUCAGGUUUAGAUACAGACAUAGACAACGGUCAUAAUUUGUUCGUGGAUUCGAACGAGAGUGAGUCGUGGAUUGGAGCGAGAGUGAGUUUGUGGAUUCGAACGAGUGUGAUAGAGGUGGUGAGGUUGAUCUUGGCAUGAGUGUGGCUGAGAAACCUAACUCUAUCGUUGACAGUGAUAGCCAAGGGGAAGGUGUAGCUGUUGAAGGUAACGUAGUAAAUGUACCGGUAUCUAGUACUAGUUACGGUGAUGAAUUAGGCAUGAAUAAGGAUGAGCUAGUCAAGUUUCAGAGAGGCGAUGAGACACUAACCCAAAUUUUUGAAUGUGAGCUGGAUGAUGAUCUCAAUGAUGUGUGUAAGGAAACUUUUUGUGUAAAGGACGGAGUUUUAUGUCGUUAUGUUCGUCCUAAGUCAGGUAGUAAAGGGGAAAUCACCGAACAAUUAGUGGUCCUAGGAAGCUUUGUGAAUUAGUGUUGAAGUUAGCACAUGAUGAGCAAGGACAUUUGGGAGUAAAUAGGACUUUCAAGUGUAUUAGUAGGGCGUACUUUUGGCCUAAAAUGAAGAGUGACGUAAAGAGAUGUUUCAAGCUGUCAUAAAUGCCAAAUUGCCGGGAAACUGAAUCAAGUAAUUCCCAGAGCUCAGUUGUGUAACAUUCCUUCAGUUGGUGAAUCUUUUGAGAAUGUAUUUAUCAACAUGGUCGGACCUUUGUCUGUAAGUAAGGAUAGAGAAGAUUGCACAACUAAUCUAGAGUAUUAAAAAAACAAUUUAAGAGAUGUUUGGCAACUAGCGAAGGAGAACAGGAGUCAAGGGGACACUAAACGGAAACAUGAUCUUAGAGCGAAAGAGACAAAUUUCUGUGUAAGAGAUGAAGUUUUAGUACUAGUCCAGAAAGAAGGUUCCGCUCUACCUUAUAAGUUCGAAGGUCCUUUUUCAGUGUUAGAAGGGAGGGGAAAUAUACAUUAUGGAAUUGAUAUGGGUAAGAGUAGAGCAAAGUCAAUGAAUGUAAACUUGCUUCAUUACUAUAAAGAAUGGCCCUUACCUUGGCCACCGCCAGUGUUCUAUGUGACAGUGUUACUGAGAGAAAUUAGUUUUGAGAAAACGCAAGAGGUGUUUUAGUAUUUCAAAGUUUUAAGCAAGGUGUUUUAGUAUUUCAAAGUUUUAAGCAGAGUUCAGAAAAUGGAAAAAGUAAGAGGAAGGGAUAAUGUGAUCGCUAAUAGCCUCUAGAGUUUUCAGAAUGAGUAGCCUAAUGACCGUUUUCUGUUUUGGCACGAGUGGUUGAGUGAAUGGAGAAGUAUUAAAGCUUUAUGCAGAAUUGUUCCCCUGCUGUUUAUUUCUUGUUUCUCUUUAGAAAAAAAUAAAAUCAGGUGAUUUCAAUUUUUUCUCUUUUUGGGCGGGACGUGUCAUGGUAAUUGCUUUAUAGCAAAGAAAGAUAAAGGAAAGGAAAACGCAUCUUUGAGAAGUUCUGCAGCAAGGAGGCAUUCGUGCCCAUGUUGGAGGCGCCUGUUCUUGCGGUUGUUCUGGAAUCGUCGGGCGUGUUGUGGAGCGCAACACGCGCCAAAGUGUCAUGAGAAACGCAGCGAAAUAUGAUGCAAUAUUUCUUCGAGAUUCUUCUAAAUAGUUCCGGUAAUCUCUGAAGCCUGUGACAUUCGCUGGUAGCCCCGCCCCCAGAUUGCCUUAUAAAUACGACUGACGAAGUAGGAGGGAGCAGAUCAUCAGUAAGAGUUACAGAUCAGAUCAUCAGUAAGAGUCACAGAUCAGUUCAUCAGUGAGAGCUCAGCAGCAGAGAUCAGAGAUCAUCAUCAGAGAGUGAUAAGAGAAGAAGGAACAGACGAAGGAUCAGAGAGGAAAACUCGCUCAAGAGUUGGGUCGAAUUCUGGUCAAGUUGUCGUCAGGAGUGGACGACCGAGGUAUUUUCGACGUUGAGCAAGCCUUGAGAAGAAACGUUAUACAAAUGAGGUUUUGAGGAGUUCCUGCCCUUCAAGCAUCAAGAGUAUACAUUGUUUUCUGCAAUACGGAGUCAAGUAGACGACAGAAGUUUACAGUUCUCCUUGUGUGAAGCCACCGCUUCGAGCAUAGAUCUCCGACGGCACAAAACUGGCCGGAAAGUACUUUCAUUACCCCACCUUUUUCCCAGUUCACACAUUGUAAGAUUUUACUUGUGGUAUGUAAAUAGGAGACACCAUUCUGCAUUUAUCUUUGUUAGUAAACUUGUAAAUAAACCUUUGUUGUGUUUGCGUAUCU